GACAGAGGGGGCAAGCGUUGCUCGGAAUCACUGGGCGUAAAGUGCGCGUAGGCGGGCUGGCAAGUCGGUCGUGAAAUCCUUCGGCCCAACCGAAGAACGUCGGCCGAUACUGCCGUUCUUGAGGGAUGCAGAGGAGACUGGAAUUCCCGGUGUAGCGGUGAAAUGUGUAGAGAUCGGGAGGAACACCGGUGGCGAAGGCGGGUCUCUGGGCAUUUCCUGACGCUGAGACGCGAAAGCGUGGGGAGCGAACCGG
rnacentral:rRNA from 1 species